GGACCCCUACGGGAGGCAGCAGUGAGGAAUAUUGGUCAAUGGGCUUACGCCUGAACCAGCCAAGUCGCGUGAGGGAAGACUGCCCUAUGGGUUGUAAACUUCUUUUGUCAGGGAGCAAUUGGGUCCACGCGUGGGCUUAGCGAGAGUACCUGAAGAAAAAGCAUCGGCUAACUCCGUGCCAGCAGCCGCGGUAAUACGGAGGAUGCGAGCGUUAUCCGGAUUUAUUGGGUUUAAAGGGUGCGUAGGCGGAAUAUCAAGUCAGCGGUAAAAAUUCGGGGCUCAACCCCGUCGUGCCGUUGAAACUG
rnacentral:rRNA from 1 species